AUAUAAAGGUAUGAUAAAAAAGAGUAAAGGGAUCACAGGUAAAGGGGGGAGAUAGCAAAUAAAGGACUAUUUGAGGAAGACUAGCCAAUUAGAAUAAGGAGGUUAAAUGACCAAAAGGGAUGAUCCAUUUAUGGAUAAACCAAUUCCAAAGGUGAAAGCCUAAAUAAAAUAGCCAAUGAACUGAGAUAUCUAAGUAGUUGGUAAGUAAAUCAAAAGAGAACUCUCUGAGUAGUGAAGAGCGAAAGGAUAAAGGCCAAAACUAGCAGAAUAGGAAUUCAAUCCACUGCAGUUUUAAAGAAGAUAAUGGGCAAAGGCCAAGGCUGAGUAUUACUAAUUGGCGAUAGUGUAAAGUACCGAGAGGGAAAGUUGAAUCAAGAACCCAAGAGGGAGUGAAAUAGAGCCAGAAACAGAUAGUCCAACAGUUGAGAGCCCUAAUUAGGGUGAUCAAUUACCUAUUGCAUAAUGGGUCGGCAAGUUUAUUGAUGGGGUAAGGUGAACAACCGAGUGAAUACAUAGGAAAUCCAAUUAAUUUGACCCGAAACCAAGUGAGCCUGUCAUUAUUAGGUUUAUAGACCGAACCUGUAGCCGUGGUAAUGGCUUAGGAUGAAUAAUGACAAGAGGACAAAUUCCUAACGAACUUGGAGAUAGCUGGUUGACCGCGAAAACUAUGGCAGUAGUCUUAUCAUUUUUUACCCAAUGGAGUACAGCACCGGUUUCAUCCUGACCUCGGAGAGUUCAUUGGAUUAAAAUAGUGAAAAUGAUAAGUCAGGGCAUCGAGGCUAAGCUCGAUGGUCAAGAGAGAAACAACUCCAUCUAUAGGCUAAAGUUCCAAAAUGGACGUUAAGUGAAUAUAAGACAAUUAGCUGGAUAAGAACUUCCUAAUGUGAGCUCAAUUCCGGGCUCCAUAUAAGAUCUAAUUAUGCUGGAAUCUAUUUAUUAGAAAUCAGCAGGUGGUUUAAUUAUCACCUCAACGACUAUUAUUAGAUCUAAAAUUAGUAUCAUUGUUUUAGCAAUAGAGUUAUUGUAAUGUAUUUAUAGUCUUGGUAAUCCAUUAUAAGUAUCAGGCUAGGUUUUUUACUGUUGUGCCUGCUAAUGUAAUUGUUGCUAGACCUGCACCAAUUGAUAGCCAUCAACAUAUUUAGUUUUCAUUAUUUAACGCAAUAACAAAUUUUAACUAUGAAUAUUUUACAUAAUCAAACUACAAUCACUAAUUGUAAUGCCUUAGUACUUUAUAAACCAGUUCCAAGUGCACUUAUUGUGACUGAACACCCUAAACCAAUUAAAUUAGAACCAUAUUUUAUUGCAAGCGUAUGGCUCUUUAUUUAUUAGUGUUAGUGUUAGUGUUAGUGUUAGUGUUAGUGUUAGUGUUAGUGUUAGUGUAAAAAGGGGAGCUAAAUGGGGUUUACAGUUAAGACCUAAAGUUUCAAUUACUUUAGAUAGAGAUUUUCAAGGUAAGGAGGUUUUAGACGCUAUUAAUCUUAAUUUCAAUAAUAGUGGUAUUAUAUAUCCUUCCAAAAGAAGUGCAUUUGAACUUGUGUUUGAAAAAGAAGCCUAGACAGCAUUUAUUUUUCCAUUUUAGGAUAAAUAUCAUCUUUAUGGAAACAAAGCAUUCGCUUUGGCUAGUAUGAAACGCAUUAUUUAACUUACUGGCAGUAAAGCUCAUAAUGAUGAAAAAAUCAUGGCUUCUAUUUUAUUAUCUAUUUAUCAUAUGAAUCCUGCAAGUCAACGUAAAUACAGUAAAUUAGUUGGAUGGUUUGAUCACUUAUAUACACCAUCAUUACUAAAUACUUCAAGACCAUUAAUUGUAGAUCCGGUUAUUCGUACCGAUUUUACAGAUCAAUUUAUUUUAGGGUUUAUUUCAGGAGAUGGAUGUUUUGGUGUAAGUUUUUAAAAAAAUGCAGAAAUUUCCAUAUAUUUUCACAUUACUCAGGAUUUGAGUGAAAUAGGAAUUUUAUAGAAAUGUAAAGAAUUCUUGGGGUGUGGAUAUAUUAAUCCUUAUGUAAAAGGAAGUUAUGCACGUUGGAACAUUGUAGGUUUUUAUGAUCAAUGGUGUUAUCUAAUACCAUUUAUUUUUAGUCAUUUAUGUAGUUAGAAUAUUUAAUAGACCACUUUCUUAAUUUAUAUGAAAGUUGCAUCUAUACUUAAUCAAGCUAGUAAAUAGAGUAAAGUAAAGUUAAAUUGAUGUAUAUCAUUGAUAUUGCUUACAAUAUUAAUAAAGGUGGUAAAAGAAGAAAAAUGACUAAAGAAGAGUACAUUGCUAAAUACAUUAAUAAAGGUUGAGUGACCUUUUAUGAUUCUUAUUUUAAAGAUAUAGUCUCGGAUGAUGACCUCAGGUCAUCUUAAAUCAGUGGAAGCAGCUAUCCUGAAUCGAGUGGGUAACAACCCAAGGAAGAUAGGUGUGAUUGUCGCUAAUUCUAGGAUCUAGACUUCCUACUUUAGCUAUAGGAUGUUUAAUACAUCGGUAGCGGUCCAAAGAGGGGCGAGUCCCCUUUUUAGAAAAUGCUGACAUGAGUAACGUGAAAUGUGGUCAAAAUCCACAUGGCCGAAAGUUUAAGGUUUUCAGCGAUAGGCUCAGGUACGUAAGAGUUAAUUGGUGUCUAACCCUUAAUUGGGGAUGACAAUAUGAAUCAACAGGAAAUGACAUAACCAUACUGAUAACCGACGCUGGUAAACAGGCAUUUAAUGUGCCAAGGCCUGCAGAUAACCAUUUAGAAGGAACUCGGCAAAAUAGGUGUACGACUGUUCACCUCAAACACAAGGCUUAGCAAACUUAUUAAGGAUGUAUUAGGCCUGUCAUCUGCCCGGUGCUAGUAAGUGAAAGCAGCGGAGAGAUUACUCUUCGGGCAUAAGCUCUAGUAAACGGCAGCUGUAACUCUAACAGUUCUAAGGUAGAAUGUUGCCUUAGAUAAAAGUCACUAUAUGCUAAAACACUCCUUAGGGUUAUUAGCAAAUCAAGCAAUUGAUUUCAGAGACUAAUUGUGGCGGUAUGUGAUAAGAAAGAUAAAUAUAAUAAAUUGAAUUAUGGAAAGUAGGAUACAUUGAUGGAUAAAUUUAGGGAUAGAUUUAAAUAGGAUCCAUCCAGGUAUACUCAAUGGGUCUUAGAUAUAGUUGAAUUAAGGUUUAAGGUUUAAUGUAGUACGAUUAUUUAUUUUAUUUUAUUUUCACAUAUAAGAUAUAGUCCAAGAUCUAUCCGUAUUUAGGUAGAUCAAAUUAGAGCGAAAUUCCUCGACACUUAAUUGGUGCCCCGCAUGAAUGGUGAAACGAUAUACCAACUGUCUCCUAAAUGGACUGCGUGAAAUUAUACUUCCAGUGCAGAUACUGGUAACUCUCAAUAAGACGAGAAGACCCUUUAAAGCUUCACUACUAGGAAUCGUAAGUUACGAUUCUGAGGUAGUUUGUCUGGGGUGGAAGCCUACUAAAUAGUAACGUAGGCCUACAAAGGUAUGGGAUCUUUAAGAUCCUCACUCGCAAUGGAUUAAACAUACUUGACUGGUAGGUAUACAGACCUACCAGGGAUCAUGAAUUAACUUUAUGGUCGGUCAUAGUGAUCCGGAUGAUUCAAUCAUCCGCUCAAGGAAUCAAAGCUACUUAAGGGAUAACAGGCUGGUCGUGGGUUGGAGUCCAUAUCUUACCCGCGCUUCGGCACCUCGAUGUCGGCUCUUCUCUUCCUGGUGUUGUAAGUGAUACCAAGGGUGUGGCUGUUCUCCACAUAAAGAGGAACGUGAGCUGGGUUCAAAUAGGACCCUAUAGAUCGUAAGGUCUAUGAAAAUAAUAGCAGUAUUUAAUAAUACUGAAGCCAAGUAAUUAAAUGUACUUGGGAUCCAACGUACUUUACAAAAGUAUCAUUGGUGAUAACAAAACUGCAUACCGUGGUGACACAGGUAGGAUUCUAUCUGUUGAGAGAUAAGUAGAAUAAAGAUACUCGCCCCUAGUACGAGAGGACUGGGUUGAGAGAACCAAUGGUGUAAUCCAUUAGAUGUAGUGAUAUUAACUCAUUGAGUGGACUAUUAGCUACGUUCUUUAAAGAUAACUCCUGAAGCCAUCUUAAGGAAGAAACAUCAUCUGAUAUUAUGAUCUACUCAUUUAUGAUACUGGGAUAACCCCAGUUCUUUAGUUUUUAACUUAUUAUCCUUUCAUUGGGUCAUUUACCCAAUUUCAUUUUUCGCUAUCUCCCUUUC
rnacentral:rRNA from 1 species